rnacentral:rRNA from 1 species
GGACCCGCACAAGCGGUGGAGCAUGUGGUUUAAUUCGAUGCAACGCGAAGAACCUUACCAGGGUUUGACAUCCUGCGAAUCUCUUGGAAACUUGAGAGUGCCUUCGGGAGCGCAGUGACAGGUGGUGCAUGGCUGUCGUCAGCUCGUGUCGUGAGAUGUUGGUUAAGUCCCGCAACGAGCGCAACCCACGUCUUUAGUUGCCAGCAUUUAGUUGGGCACUCUAGAGAGACCGCCGGUGAUAAACCGGAGGAAGGUGUGGAUGACGUCAAGUCAUCAUGCCCCUUACAUCCUGGGCUACACACGUACUACAAUGCUACGGACAAAGGGCAGCAAGUUCGCGAGGACAAG